rnacentral:misc_RNA from 1 species
GAUGAAGACGUAGCGAAAUGCGAUACGUAGUGUGAAUUGCAGAAUUCAGUGAAUCAUCGAAUCUUUGAACGCACAUUGCACCUCUCGGUAUUCCGGGAGGUAUGCCUGUUCGAGCGUCAUUUGUACCCUCAAGCUCUGCUUGGUGUUGGGUGUUUGUUCCGCCUCUGUGUGUGAACUCGCCUCAAAACAAUUGGCAGCCGGCGUACUUGUUUCGGAGCGCAGCACAUUUUGCGAUCCAGAUCAACGUACAGCGGCAUCCAAGAAGCCUUAUUUAACGCUCUUGACCUCGGAUCAGGUAGGGAUACCCGCUGAACUUAAGCAUAUCAUAAGCGGAGGA